CCCCAGCCCCGCCUCACUGGGCCCCGCCUCUCUGGGCCCCGCCUCUCUGGGCCCCGCCUCUCUGAGCCCCGCCUCACUGGACCCCGCCUCACUGGGCCCCGCCUCUCUGGACUCCGCCUCCCUGGGCCCCGCCUCUCUGGGCCCCGCCUCACUGGCCCCGCCUCUCUGGACUCCGCCUCACUGGGCCCCGCCUCACUGGACCCCGCCUCUCUGGACUCCACCUCACUGGGCCCCGCCUCUCUGGGCCCCGCCUCACUGGGCCCCGCCUCUCUGGGCCCAGCCUCUCUGGACUCCGCCUCACUGGGCCCCGCCUCUCUGGGCCCAGCCUCACUGGGCCCCGCCUCUCUGGACUCCACCUCACUGGGCCCCGUCUCUCUGGGCCCCGCCUCACUGGGCCCAGACCAUGCGGGAGCGGCCUCUCGAAGCUGACUGCGUCCAGUUGCUUUUCCAAUCACCGACUUGGCUUCUAUUUGAUCACCAGCAUCUCGGUUUGCACAAAAGCGUGCUCAGUGCAUUCGUCCAUAGACCUUUAUGAAAACUUCGUGGCAGGACAGCUCAGGCCUCCACUCGGCGCAAGAGGAGUCCAGGCCCAGGCCUCCUCAGGCCCAUGGAGGCACUUCCAGUCUUUCAGCAGGAAAAUUGAUACGAAUAGUUCUCAUGAAGUUCAUGCAGGCCCUGAGGUUAGCCACAGAGGGGCCACUGCACCCCUUGGUGCCACUAGAACCCAGUGUCAGGGCCCUCACCAGGAGCAAGAGCC
rnacentral:lncRNA from 13 species